AGGCAGGAAAAAGAACACGAGGGGUCUUUAUUUUGUCCUUUUGUGGUCCUAAUGUAGUGCCAAAUUAGUCAUAGCAAGUUAGCCAAUCUCUUGUCUACCCUACCUCACUCUUUUGGCCAAAUGGUACAUGAAAAACAACCCUUGGUGGAAUUGGAAUAAUAGUUAACAAAAUAAUUUUGAAGGGUCAAGGACAUCAAAGGGGUUGAAUCCGAAUAUCAAUGGAAGGGUUUGAGGAAAGAGAGUACGAGAAUUGGACUGUCAUUGUUGUGGCUUGGCGGCUGAGUUUUUCGAGUUUGAAGCAAGCAUGUCUUUCUUCAUUUCUUUCCUUAUUGUAUUAUGUAAUCAAUCUGAUUUGUAAUAACUAAACAAGUAUAGUAUAGUUAUUGGAUCAUAAUACAGGCUUUUAAGAAGAAAUAAAUUAUAAUAAUGUGUUCAUUGCAA